rnacentral:rRNA from 1 species
AACGAACGCUGGCGGCAGGCUUAACACAUGCAAGUCGAGCGCCCCGCAAGGGGAGCGGCAGACGGGUGAGUAACGCGUGGGAACGUACCCUUUGCUACGGAAUAGCUCCGGGAACCUGGAAUUAAUACCGUAUGUGCCCUACGGGGGAAAGAUUUAUCGGCAAAGGAUCGGCCCGCGUUGGAUUAGCUAGUUGGUGGGGUAAUGGCCUACCAAGGCGACGAUCCAUAGCUGGUCUGAGAGGAUGAUCAGCCACAUUGGGACUGAGACACGGCCGAAACUCGUACGGGAGGCAGCAGUGGGGAAUAUUGGACAAUGGGCGCAAGCCGGAUCCAGCCAUGCCGCGUGAGUGAUGAAGGCCUUAGGGUUGUAAAGCUCUUUCACCGGAGAAGAUAAUGACGGUAUCCGGAGAAGAAGCCCCGGCUAACUUCGUGCCAGCAGCCGCCGUAACAC